GGAUCGCGUCUCCGUCCCUCCCUCCCGAGCGGGCCGUUUGACAUUGCCGCCCCUCCGGAGCGGGAGGAGCUACCGGGAGAGGGCGGGGCUCCCUGGAGAAGGCGAGGGGGCGGGGCCGAGCCCCUUCGGCAGCGCCCUUCUAACAGGAACUCCGGUGACGGCCUGUCACGGAGCGACAGGUAUUUAAAAGGGGCGGGUCAUCCCCGAGCAGCCAAUCGGAGCGGCACGGCCCCGCGCGCAGGGGGACGUUGCGUCCGUUGCCAGCUGUGGGGUAGUUGACUGGCAGUGCUUUACUCCAAUCGGAGCGCGUCAUGUGAGUCACGUGGGAGCCCCCCGGCGCCGUGCCAGGGCGCUGCGGUGCGUGUGGGCUGGCGGGUGGUGCUGCUCCCGGCGUCCUCUGGGGCGGAGCGGAGUCCAAGCAGAGCAUGCCGGGAGUUGUAGUCCGCUAUGCGGGGGCGCGGCGAGCGUGUGGCAGGCAUCUGCAAGGAUUGGGAAAUGCUCUGGAGUUAUGAAUAAUACACUUGUAGCAGAGUUAGGAUGGGCUCUGAAGAACAGUAGUGCAGAUUGGCAGAUGUUUCGACCUGAUGAGAGAUGA
rnacentral:lncRNA from 1 species